GCCUAGCUGGCUCAGUAGGUAGAGCAUGCGAUUCUUAAUCUCAGGGUCGUGAGUUCAAGCCCCACAUAGGGUA
rnacentral:tRNA from 1 species